rnacentral:misc_RNA from 1 species
GAUGAAGAACGCAGCGAAGUGCGAUAAUUAAUGUGAAUUGCAGAAUUCCGUGAAUCAUCGAGUUUUUGAACGCAUAUUGCGCCCCUUGGUAUUCCGAGGGGCAUGCCUGUCCGAGCGUCAUUGCAACCCUUCAAGCACGGCUUGUGUGUUGGACGGCCGCCCCAGUGUGGGCGGGUCCCAAAUGCAGUGGCGGCGCCGCGAUCCGGGUGCUCGAGUGCAUGGAAACCACGCGCUCGUUAGGCCCCGUCGGGCGCCGGCCGACCUAAUUAUCUUCGUUCUGGUUGACCUCGGAUCAGGUAGGAAUACCCGCUGAACUUAAGCAUAUCAAUAAGCGGAGGA